UCCAGUGGGGAGGCCCUGGUCAGGGAGGGGGCGGCCAGGGGGCUGACACGCCCCUCGUCUUCCUCAUGGGCGGACAGUCCUGAGGAAUGUCGUGUCCAGCUCCUUAGGGACCCACGGGGCUGACCAGGGCCCACCCUGCCCGCUC